rnacentral:rRNA from 1 species
AGCCUGACGGAGCAAUGCCGCGUGAAGGUAGAAGGCCUACGGGUCAUGAACUUCUUUUCCCGGAGAAGAAGCAAUGACGGUAUCCGGGGAAUAAGCAUCGGCUAACUCUGUGCCAGCAGCCGCGGUAAUA